GCCUUCGCAGUCUCCACGAUCACGAUGGUCCUCUGGUGUCCCAUCUUUCUCUCUCAAACUGUCCUUUCCUCAAUCCUUUGACUCCGCCGGACUUUGUCACCCCCACAACCUGGUUUUGGGUCUGGCCACCCCAACAUUAACUCAAGAAUGGAAUAAAACAUGCUACAUGAACAUUUUUAUAUUGUCAUGAUUUAUCAUCCAGAAAAAAAGGAGAUUUUAAUACUACUUUGAAGGAGAUGGGGAACUGCCAAGAAGGAAAAUAUACAAGUGUUCAUGUGAUGAGAGGUACUGAAUCACUGAAAAUAAACUGGCCUAGAAGCAAUACCAGGAUCGAGAGAGAUGGAGUCUUAUUCUGUCACCCAGGCUGGAGUGCAAUGGCAUGAUCUCGGCUCACUGCAACUUCCGCCUCCCAGGUUCAAGAGAUUCUCCUGCCUUAGCUUCCCAAGUAGCUGAGAUUACAGGCACCCACCACCAUGCCCAGCCAAUUUUUGUAUUUUUAGUAGAGAUGGGGUUUCACCAUGUUGUCCAGGCUGGUCUCGAAUUCCUGACCUUGUGAUCUGCCCACCUUUGCCUCCCAAAGUGCUGGGAUUAGAGGCGUGAGCCACCAUGCCCGGCCUAAAUGCUGUGUUUUUAAGUUUAUGCACAUGUGGUCACAUUUUAUGUGAGAAUAGUGGUUACUUGUAGGGUGUUAGGGGAAACAUGACCUGGGAGGAGUGCAUGGGAUUCAAAAGUAUAGUAAUGCCUGAUUUGUCAAGCUGAGUUUUUGAACAUGUGAAUAUUAUCACUUUUUAAACUAUACAAGUGGUUUAUACGCACAGUAUAAAAUACAAUUCUUUCAAAACAACAAAAAAAGUUCAACUUAAUAAAUUCCUUUACUCAUGACAUCUGAGAGUCCUGUUUGAGUGGUACUCUAGUAAAUUAACACCAUCAUUGGUUGUUUGAUAUGGCUCUUUGUGGCUUGAAACAAGCCCUCCAAAAUCAGAAUGCCAGAGCAUUAAUUUAAAAUGAAAAAUAUAAUUUUACUAGGAAUUAGGUUAUUUAGUUCACACAAUUUAUUCAUCUACUUCUUUAUUUAUUUAACAAAUGUUUGAAAAGUUCCAGUUCUGUAUCAGGCACUAGUCUGCUGCUAGGAAUGUGUCAGUGCUGCAUGAAAAAUAAAGUCUCUGAUUUUUGCUGUUUAUAUUCUUAUAGGGAGAGGAAAAUAGUACAAAAACUAAAUAUUAUAUAUGAAGUGGUGAUAAGAGAUAUGAAGAACACUAAAUCGAAGCAAGAACUCAGUUUUGAGAAGAGGUUGCUGUAUAGAUAGGGUAGACAGGAAAUGCUUCUUAGAGCAGUGAAUUGAAGAGAGAAAACUGAGUCACGUAAAUAUCUUGGGAAAGAUCACUUGUGAAGGACCCAAGUGAGAACCAUUUUUGACCAGCUCAAGAGACAGCAGGGAAAAAAAUGACAAAAUAAGACAGAUACUAAGUAGAAGAAGAUGAGAUCAGGAGUGGGUCGUGGGUCAGGAGAUGUGCAGAUCAUAUAACGUCUUGAAAAUUCUGAUAAGAAUGUUGGUCUUUACUCUGAGUGAGAAGAAAAUAUAUGGUUACUGCCAGUAGGUCAGUGUAUUUGAAGAGGAUGGUUGUGGGGCAGGGGGUGAAAUGAAGGGUGGUGAGAAGAGAUUAGAGAGAAAGACAGGACUCAGAUCCUCGUGUGUCUUUUUAGAGAAUGUGGAAUUUAUAUUGAUGAUCCAUUGGUGAACUACUGCAUGCCCCGUAACAUGCCAUGUGCCACAUAACAUUUCACGCAACAUCAGACCACAUAUACAGUGGUCCCAUAAGAUUAUAAUACUGUGUUCUUAAUGUACCUUUUGUAUGUUCAGAUAUGUUUAGAUACACAAAUACUUAUUAUUGUGUUACAAUUGCCUACAGUAUUCAGUACAUUAAUAUGCUGAACAGGUUUGUAGCCUGGGAACCAUUGAUUAUACCAUGUGGCCUAGAUGUGUUGUAGGCUGUGCCAUUGAGAUUUGUGUUAGUGCACUCCAUCAUUUUCACACAAUGACAAAAUUGCCUAACAAUGAAUUCUCAGAACGUAUAAAAUACAGUGACACGACUGAAUUUUAAAAAGGAAAAUCAUAUUAUUGAUUUGUAUUUCCAAAAGAUCAUUUGAGAAACUGAUGGAGUACAGUUUGUGGGAAAAUGACUUGGCAGUAAAGUAGCUGUCAUUAUAAUAUUUCAAUAUUUGCUAACUGAGUAAAUGAGAGGAAGAAUAAAUUAACAUCUAUGUUUACUUCUUUUCUUCUUUCAGUAAAAUGAGCCCUUCAUCUUGUCUAAUACUCAUCACUUCACCUAUGUGCUAAAUUCCAUUCUUUCCAGUCAUCUUCUGACAAUUUUGAUUCACAAAUAUUGCCCCCUCUCUCCUUUUAUUUUGAACCUGUCUAUGCAGCAGCACCAUAUUUUUAACAUGUGAAUAUUCUCAAACUAGUGUUUCCAAUCAGAAGCAGCAACAGCAGGUACUUCAUCCUAUAUCCUAAUCUAGAAUUUCAACUUUUUUCUUCUCUCCUGAACCUUCCUCUUUGCAAUAAGAGUUGGCAUUCUUAUCUUGACUUUGUCACCAACGUUUUUCAUUUUUUUCCUCAACUCUUAGGAACCUGGUCUCUCACUCAUUCUUCAGUUUUUUGUUGAUGUUGUUUGUUUUCUUGUUUGUUUUUUUUUUUCUUGUCAAGAGUACUCAUCACGUUCUAUUUGCUAAAUCUGAAAUAUUUGUCAGUCCUUAUCUUAUUUUGCCUCUUUACUUGACCUUUCUACUGACUUGACUUCUCCAUGUCUAACGCUUAACAUACCUGAGUCAGAGGUAAAACCCAAUUUUCCCUUCAUUAGUUAAGCCAAUCAAUACAGAAAAUAUAUGAAUGUGCUUGAUUAUUGUACUUUCGUCUGUUUUUAUUAUCUAUUUACUUAAAUUAACAUUGUCAAUUAAACCGUUUGCAACUUGAGCAAAGAUGUCUAGAUGUUUUUCUAUUGAUACUGAUUAUUCGGUAUUAAUAACCUCCCUUGACAAAUAUACAAAAUUAGUAUUUUAAAGUGUUUACAAAAAUUCCAUAAAAUUAAUUGAUGCUAUUAGAAAUUUACCAUCCAGUUUUAAUAUAAUGUAUUUCCUGAUAAUUUUUAUGCUUCCUAAGUGAUGAUUUUUGUAUAUUUAGCCACAUCUAUUUAACCAAACAUGACAAUAAGGGCUAUAUAAUAUGUAUAUCAAAGCAAUUUAUUAAGCAUACUACAGUCAUUAUGAUAGCUCUAGAGGACACUGCAGCACAGAAAGUCAAAAGAUUUUUUACCUUGGCCAUACAUUAGAAAAGAGUAAAACAUCUCCAAAGUUUUAAAGGAAAAAAUAGUAACAAACAGUUAUUUAAUCCCCAAUUUGACUCAUAUCCUUCUAUUAGUCAAAUAUAAGAGAGGUUAAUAAAAGAAUAGUCCUCCAAAAAACUUUGAAAUGCCCUUUGCGUACAGCUCUUGUUUCCCACUUAACUUUUCUCCAUGUCAGCUGCUUUUGGGUGUGUGUUUGUUUGUUUUAAUACUUCCACCACAGUAGUUCUACAGGUUAAAGUGUUACAUGAAGUUGAUUGCAGCUUAACUGCAUUGUAUUAAAACAAAAAAAGCAUUAGCGCUUUAUUCAGUUCCUCCAAUAAUAAAACAUACAGCCAUGAAAAAAUAAUAUGAAAAUUGUAAAAAGUCAUACAAUCAGAAAAAGCCUAAAAAUGUUAAGCUUUAUCAUCAUAUCCUGGAAUUUGUUAAAUGAAGGUAGCAUAUAUUUAUUAUCAUAUCCGUGGCAUUUUUUUAUAGAGCAGAGUAGAAGAGGAAAAAAGAGAUGCUACCAAGAAUAAUUACAAUUCUUUCCCUCAGCACACUGACAAUUUUGUUGGGAAAAGUCAAGGAGAAGGUUAAGCCCUUAUUAUGUGCAAUGUGCUGUGCUGGACUUAUUGAAUGUAUCAUCCAACCUAAUCUUGUAACCUCCUGAAAGGAAGCAUUGUUUUUUUUUUUUUUUUUUACAAACCAGAAGAAUGAAGCUAAAAAAAAGAGCAAAUAACUUGGCCAACUCACAAAUCUAGUAAUCGACUUACUUGGGAUUCAAGCCUAGAUCUACGUGAAUUUAAAACUUAUCCUUUAUCUAUUAGGGUACACAUCUUUUUAAAAAUGCAUCAGAUUGUAAAUGAUCCUUAUGUCCUCAUGAAAAUCAAAUGUAUAGAAAAUUGAAACUAGGCUUAUAGUUUCACGGUUUAUAGUUUCGUUCUCCUGAAAUGAGAUUAGUUGGUUCAAAUAAUUGUAUUUGUUAUUCUGAUUGCUUGGACAAAAUAAAGUUUUGGAUAUCAAAAGGCCAUUAAUAAAGUCAUUUGUAUUAGGCACAAAUCAAAAUUGUAACAGAUAAAAAGAGAAAUUAUUUUAAAGAUGUGAUCAUAACAUUUUAAACUUGUACACAUGCCCAGAUAGUUAUAUACUGAGAAUAUUUUAUAAAGUGUGAAAAAGCAGAGUAGGCAUAAUAUCUAGCUUCCACUGAAAUAAGCAGAGUUUUCAAUGCCAGUUUUGAUGUUUGGCAAUUUCUCUAAUUUGGUGACAAAAUAUAUAAGCCAUUCUUUUGAUAUCUAAUGUGCCAUCAUGCUUGUCCUUCAUUAUGAUGUUAAUAGCAUUGUUGCUGAUGGUGCUUGAUAAGAAGCAUCUGGUACAUUGGGACUGAGGCUUUGGAAUUUGAAGCAGAUCUCGGGCACUGCUAUGUGGGCCCACUUAUUGAAUGAAUUAAGGAAUGGUAAUUUGCAUGACUUUUGUACUUAUAUAUACUUAAUAUUAGAAUUUCUCUUACUAGGUUAAGCUUUCUAAAUAUCCUUACAUAUUGUUAAGUAUUCAUGGGGUGGGAGCUUGGAAAAUCAAGUGACAAACUGCUGAUCAUAGGAAUAGGGGAUCAUAGGUAGGGAAACUAUGCAUUUUAUUAUCUCAUUCAGGGCCUAUUUUGGAGUAAAAAUACUAAAAUUUAUUUAGACAUCAGCACAACAGAUCUAAACUAGGACUUUCCAAGGAAAAGCAAUGUAUAAUUCCAGACUAGCUCCAAGUGACAUGAAUCACUAAAGGGAUCCAUGCACCCUAAAAACACCUUUGCCUUUUCUGCUUCUAAUCUACUCACAUGGUGGUUUGUCCUUGCUGAGUUGAAUUGGUUAUCAGAACUCAUGAAAGUAAAAGAGAAAAUUUGAGAAUAUCUCAGGAAAAAUCAAGAGUUUAAAAUAUUUAAAACUAUUAUGAGACUGUAAGUUUCUUCAGGAUAAUUUUUGAUUAAUGUUUUUAAUACUGUAAUUCCUUUCUAAAUGGCAAACAGAGAAAAUUUUGGUUGUGUGAUUAUUACUUAGUUAAAACUAUUUACUGAACACCUACUGUGGACUUAGCAUUGCCAUACUCUGUGAUAGGAGAAUAAGUUAGAUAUAAUUUCUGUCUUCACAGACAAGGGCAAAAGAAUGCAAUUUGUUCUAUAAUAAAAGAAUUUAAUAUAUUUUUAGACAAAGUAAUUUUAUAGGCACCCCACAAAGCUGACUAAUUCACAAAAUGAGAAACAAAUUUUUCAGUUUGCACAUUAAUAUUGAAAGAUUGAAAAGAAUUAACAUUGAAAAUAAUUUCUAAAACUCUCUCAACUCCUUAAUGAUAUAAACUCUUCAUAAACAUUUCCGGGCUUAUCACUAAUUUAUUUAGCUAAGGCCUUGAUUUUACAACAAUAAAAAUAAAUGCACAAAUGAUGCAGAGUGUGGUCUCAAUAACUGAAACAGAUGCAAUUACUUAUAAUUCAAUAAGAAUAUAAUAAUUCAUACAGUUUAUCAAAUGUAAGGAUCAUUUGGCAAUGCCACAGAGAACAUAAAUUACUGGAUAAUAUGCAGAGUAUAGCUAAUAGCAAUGAAAUGGUCUCAGACCAAUAACAGUAUUUCAUUUAAUGCAUCUAAUAUCUAAGAUGUAAACAAGGAAAUAAAAUUAAGUCAAGUAAAAAGCACAGUGUUACAUUGUUAUAUCCUACACCAUUUAUUUGUUUAAAAGAGAUCAUUUUAUGGGUCAUACUUUUCCUUUAGACAUAAAUACUUCUGAAAGUGAGAUGGAGUAUGGCACAAAUUGAUAACUAUCUUUCAUACUAUAAUACAGUAUGGAAGGAACAACACUCAAUAAAUUUUUGUAUACAUUGGAGCACCACAAAAGAAAGAGAACCUCCAUUGACUCAAAAUAAACUCAAGUUUUAUUUAAGAAAUGCAAAGAGUACCCUUCCUGUGGAUUUUUAAAUGUAAUAUAACUUAAUGUUAAUUUAAGUUUAUGUUAAUAGACAUGGUAGAAAAAAACUAUAGAGUCCUUAAGUCAUGUGGCCUCUGCAUAAUUCAAAAUUAUAACUCAUCUGUAACAUAUAAAUGUAUAGGGUUUCUCAGGUUAUUUGAGUAUUUGGCAACACUGUUUUUUAUUAUUAUAUUUAUAUACCAUAAGACAUUUCUGGUUGAUAGAAAGUGUAAAGGAUGGAAUCAUAAGCAUAAUAUAGCAAACUAGCUAAGACCAAUGAUAAUAUCUGUUUUGCUGAUUAAAUACCUAGUUAUUUGUUACCUAAAAUAAGUGGUAAACAAUUAAGAUAAUCAAAGGUGAUCUCAUGGAAUACUUUGCAGCCAUAAAAAAGAAUGAGUUAAUGUCCUUUUCAGGUACAUGGAUGAAGUUGGAAGCCAUCAUUCUCAGCAAACUAUGACAGGAACAGAAAACCAAACACUGCGUGUUUUCACUCAUAAGUGGGAGUUGAACAAUGAGAACACCUGGACAGAGGGAGGGGGGAAGGGGAGGGAGAGCAUUAGGACAAAUACCUAAUGCAUGUGGGCCUUAAAACCCAGAUGACGGGUUGAUAGGUGCAGCAAACCACCACAGCACAUGUAUACCUAUGUAACAAACCUGCACAAUCUGUGCAUAUAUCCCAGAACUUGAAGUAAAUUUUUUUUAAAAAGGAAAAAAAAAUCAAGGGUGAUCUAAGAUAACUUUAUGAUUCUUCCCAAGCGGUUUAUUUCCCAUUGGUUUGUCUUAUACAAACCAUACCAUAGUAUAACUCAAGUCUCCGUUAUCACAAUGCCUUUCUAUAUAUUCUGAUCCUCCAUAUCUCUUAUUCACACUUUAAUAAUUUCUUUUUUUUUUGACUUGGACAAUUUAUACUAGCAUAUGCUUAUUACGUGUCUUUUUUAUACUAGACUCAUUUUGGAAGUGGGCUCACAAAAUCGAGCAAAAUAGACACAAACUCCUGCUCUCAUGGUGUUUAUAUUCUAGUGGUGGAGACAAACAAGAAACAAUAUAAAUAAAUAAAUUGUAGCCUAAUACUAAAUGGUGAUAAAUGUUAUGGAGAAAACCAAAGCCAAGAGGAGUAGGAAGUGUUGGAAGGUAGACUACAAUUUUUAACAGAAUGGUUAGAGAUAGCACUAAAGAGAAAAUGACAUAUGAGUUAAGACCUGAAGGAGGUGAGGAACAAACUUUGCAGUGCAUAGGUCAAAAGGUAUUCCGAGAGAGACAACAUCAACUGCAUAGGCUUUGGAGCGGGAGUGUACCUCUCCUGUUCCAAGAGCAGCAAGAAAGUCCUGAGCUCAUGUGGCCUGAACAGAGAAACCAAAGAGAGGGUAAAGAAAUAAAGUAAAUGAGCAAAUAAUACAGCCCAUGUAAGGAUUCACAUGUCAAGAUGGGGAGGUAUUUGUUUUUAUCUGACUUAAUUCAACAAGAUAAUUAUGACUGCUGUAUUGAAAUAAAUGAAAAGAAAAAGAUGUUGUCUUAGGGAAUUUCAAAUGAAUUUUAUUGAACCCACAAUUUAUUGAAGUUAUAAAUUAUUUAAUACUUACAGUUUAAUAAUUUCAUUAUAUACAUUAUCUUGCUAGUACAACUAAAUUUUGAAAUACAUAAAAAUAUCAACCUAUUUUCCAGAUUCAGAAACAGAUUUAAAGAGGUUGAGUAAAUUGUCCAAAAAUCACAGCGACUAAGAGGCAGAGCUAGAAUUUGAAACCAAACUACCCAAAUCCUGUCAUACUUACCCAACAGCCCUCUCACACCUUCAUUUACCACUGAUGAAUGUGGCAAAAAUUGAUCUUGAGGUGAGUCGCAAAAUAAGAAACUUUCAAGGUAUGUUAUUGCCAGGGCAUAAUUAUCAUUAUGAUUAAUUAUUCAAAUUUUUAACAUUUUUACUAAGUCUGACUUCUUGAUUUUACCAUUUUUAAGCUCAACAUUUUGCUUUUGCAGAUUUUGGGUUUCCUAAGGGGAAGUCAAAUUUUUAUCAGAGAAUCUUGAAAUAUUAACUAUAAGAAUAUUAAAACUGGAGAGGUAUUCUGAAGCAAUUAGUUGAGACCAAAAAAAAAUAAUGAAAACCAUUAAUGAAAACCUUAGGUCAUUUCAAUCUAUCUUGCCUCAAGAAAAUAGUAACAUAUCUCUGGAUAAAUCACUUAGAGAAAGAUGACAGGGUCAGAUUCAAAAGGUUUUGAGUCUUCUAUGUAGUUCAUGCCAAUUGUGUUCUAAAAUUAAGCUGUAAUAAUAGGUUUCAGCCUCUUUGGGCCUUGAACUCCUAAUACUCUUUAAUUGUUUCAAAUCUUUAAAGCAUGAACUUCUGUAAAAGCACCUAGCAUAGUGCCUAGUAUUUAGGAGGCUUUCCUUAGAUAGCUGUUGACUGAAUUGAUAAAUUAAUUAAUGAACAAAUGAAUAAUUAGGGUUAGAAAAUCCCCAACUAUGCUCGGUCUCUAUGUCUAGAAACGAUUUGACAUAUAAUCCUUGCUAACCUUUUAAAGAUAAAUAAAUUGCAAUAUCAAACAAUUCAGAACAUCUCAACCCUAAGAUUCCACAUUUAUGUGUUAAUAUUGCCAGUAGAGCAGAUUGCAUAAAAGUUGUUUUUUUUUUAAUUAGUGGAGAAAAUGGGUGAAAACUGGCCUGAAAGUCUGAAGAAGGCAGUUUUAGAAUGACAACAGCAACAACCACAAAACAGCAACAAUGGCUAGCAUUCACUGAGUGCUAAAUAUAUGCUGAACAUUGCACAAAGUGGAUUAUCUAAUAUACCUUUUCAUCACUUCAGCGUACGAAGUGGGUGUAGUGUAGUAGUUGUUAAAAAGUAGAGCUCAGAUCAGAUUUCUAGUGCUGCUGCUAGCUAGCUAAGUGAGCUUAGAAAAAUGACAAACCCUCUGUGUCUGUUUUUUUUCUGUAAAAACAAAAAGAAUGAUAAUAAUAUUAUAUACCUUGUAGAUUAAAUGUGUUACUAGAUGUAAAGUGCUUAGAAUCAUGCCUAAGCAAUUGCUAUAUUCAUAUUAGCCAUUUAAAAUUUCAUUUUUAAGAUUGAUAUUGAUCAGGUCAAUCAUUUUUUAUAUGGUCCCAAAGCAUAGGCAACAAAAGCAAAAAUAGAUAAAUGUGAGUAUAUCAAACUGAAAAGCUUCUAUACAGCAAAGGAAACAAUUAGCAAGGUGAAGAGACAAUCUACAGAAUGAAAGAAAAUAUUUGCAAACUAUGCAUCUGAUAAGGGGUUAAUAUCCAAACCAUAUAAAGGACUCAACUCAAAAGCAAGAAAACAAAUAACCCAAUUUAAAAAUGGGCAAAGGACCUGAAUAGACAUUUUUCAAAAGAAGACAUCCAAAUGGCCAAUAGGUAUAUUAAAAAAUGCUCAACAUCACUAAUCAUUAGGGAAAUGCAAAUUAAAAUUGCAAUGAGAUAUUACCUAUUAGAAUGGCUAGGUGUAAAAAGACAAACAAAAACGUGAAGAUGUGAGGAUAUGAAGGAAAGGGAAUGCCUGCACAGUGCUGGUAGGAAUAUCAAUUAGCAUGGCUAUUAUGAAAACCAAUACAGGGGUUCCUUAAAAGUAGAAUUACCAUAUGAUCCAGCAAUCCCACUUCUGGGUAUAUAUCCAACAGAAAUGAAAUCAGUAUGGUAAAGAAAUAUCUGCACUCCCAUUUAUUUAUUGCAUUGCUAUUCACGAUAGCCAAGAUAUGGAAUCAACCUAAGUGUCCAUCAAUGAAUGAAGAAAAAUUGUUGUAUAUAUACACAGUGGCAUACUAUUCAGCCAUAAAAAGAAGAAAAUCUUAUUGUAACAACACAGAUGAAUCUGGAGUUUUUUUAUGUUAAUUGAAAUAAGCCUGGUACAGAAAGACAAAUACCAUGUGAUCUCUUUCACAUGGGGAAUCUAAGGAAGUUAAUCUCAUAGAAAUAGAAGGUAGAAAAGUAUUUACCAGAGGCCCUGGCAGUUGGAGAGGAGGGUUUGAGGAGAUGCUGGUCAAAGAAUGCAAAAUUUUAGGUAGGAGGAAUAAGGUCAAGACAUCUAUUAUACAACAUGGUGACUGUAGUUAGUAACAAUAUACUGUAGUGUUGACAAAUACUAAUAGAGUGGAUGUCGUGUUCUCACCACAAAAAUGAGAACUAUGUGAGGUAAUGCAUGUAUUAAUUACCUAGAUUUUUGUCAUUCCACAAUGUAUACAUACUUCAAAACAUCAUGUACAUUAUAAAAACAUGCAAUGUAUCUGAAAAUUUAGAAAGUAAGAAUAAUAUUGUAAUAUAAUUUAAAUCAAUUGAAAAAAGAUUGAAGAAACUGGGAUCUCACAUUAAAUAUACGCAUUCUAAGUUUAAAAAGUAUGGUUCAGAGAAAGUAAUCAAAUUAACCCCAAAUCAACAGCUUAUUAUUACUUUCAAAGCUACCAAGCAUUCUAAUUAAAUACCAGUAGGUAUUAAAUAGGAAAUAAACUGAGAAAUGAGGAAAUUCCAAUAGAGAAAUGAUAGCAUUCAUUAUUUUCCAAACUUAUAGCCAUCUGCAAGGUAAUUCUGAAAGAACACAACAUAUGACCAGUGUAAAGACAAAUAAAAUUGUAACAACAAAUACAUGAAAAAGAAGAAGCUUAACACAGACACAAACACACACAAAGGUAGCUAUGUGAGAUAAUAAAUAGAUAAUUAGCUUAACUGUGGUGAUUGUUUCACAAUGCAUACUUAUAUCAAAACAUCAGGUUGUACACUCUAAAUAUAUUCAAUUUUUAUUUGUUAAUUAUAUCUCAAUACAGCUGGAGAAAAAAAAAAAAAAGACCUAAAACAGGCAAAACCGCCAGGCAGGCUAAGUGGGGAUAGCGGAAGUGGGGGGGAUUGCAGAGGCGUCUACUUGGAUUGAUAGAAAUAGUCCACAUCUUCAUUGUAAUGAUGGUUACCUGAAUAUAUACACUGUCAAAAUUCAUUGAACUGUACAAUUAAAGAUGAGUGAACUUUAUUUUAUGCAAAUUAUACCUCAAUAAACCUAAUUAUUAUCCCAGAACCUAAAGUUCUUGGGAUACAUGUGCAGAACGUGCAGGUUUGUUACAUAGGUACACAUGUGCCAUGAUGGUUUGCUGCACCCGUCAACCCGUCGUCUACAUUAGGUAUUUCUCCUAAUGCUAUCCCUCCCCUAGUCCCCCACCCCCUGACAGGCCCCGGUGUAUGAUGUUCCCCUCCCUAUGUCCAUGUGUUCUCAUUGUUCAACUCCCACUUAUGAGAGAGAACAUGCGGUGUUUGGUUUUCUGUUCCUGUGUUAGUUUGCUGAGAAUGAUGGUUUCCAGCUUCAUACAUGUCCCUGCAAAAAACAACCUAAUUAUUUUUUAAAAAAUAAAUAAGAAGCCAGGCGCGGUGGCUCACGCCUGUAAUCCCAGCACUUUGGGAGGCCGAGGCGGGCGGAUCACGAGGUCAGGAGAUCCAGACCGUCCUGGCUAACAUGGUGAAGCCCCGUCUCUACUAAAAAUACAAAAAGUUAGCCGGGCGUGGUGGCGGGUGCCUGUAGUCCCAGCUACUUGGGAGGCUGAGGCAGGAGAAUGGCGUUAACCCGGGAGGUGGAGCUUGCAGUGAGCCGAGAUUAGGCCACUGCACUCCAGCCUGGGUGACAGAGCGAGACUCCAUCUCAAAAAUAAAAUAAAAUAAAAUAAUAAAAUAAUAAAAUAAAAUAAGCUUCAUCUCCCUGUUGAAAAUGAGGAAAUAUAUUUCCCUCCCCUCCUUUUUCUUAGAGAACAUACUUUAGAAAAGUUGUAAGUACUUUCCACUCUAUUUGAAAUGUAUAUAAAUCCUUUUGAAACUAGACAGGCUUUUUGUCAGCUUUAUGACCCAGGAAUGUCUUUCUCAAGAACCCGGGAGCAUUCUCUUUGAAAUGUAUAUAUCAAGGGAGAUAGCAUCCCUAUCAGCCAAGUUUAACUUUGGUGGGCACCUUGCUCUUGCAAAGCUACCUUUUUCAUAAAGAUUUGAGAAGUUUGUUUUUCCUCUGGAUAAAACUCAUUAGGUAACAUAGAUGAUUAUCUCAAUUGUCAGGUGAAUCUAGGAUGAACUGUGUGUGACAAAAUGGUGCUCUCAAGUCUUCUUACUUGAGGGCUUGCCUAUAUAAAACAGUUAGGUUUCUUUCUGUCUUUGCAACCUCUUAGCAGAUUGCCUAUGAUGCAUAUCACAUUUUGGUUUAAUGCUUAUUUAAUCAUAAAACUGUGUUCUUUAUUUGUUACUUUUGUGGAGAAAUUUUUGAGUCAGGAAAACAUGUUUCUCUAAUACACUUCCCCCAACAGCAGUUAACUGAGAAAGUACAUAUCUGUUAUCAGGAUGGCAUUAAAUCAGGUAAAUAAAUCAUUUAGAACCAAUAUUUGGUGUAGCAGGAAUACUGUCUCUAGUCAUUAGCCAGAAAUUAUUUUCAACUUCUUGAAUAUAAAUUUGGCCUUCAUAAUAUAUGAAGAAAUAUACAAAGUGAGAUAGGAAUUGUAUCAAAAUAAUUCCAAGUAAUUAAAAAGCAAAAUGAUAGAACAGUUUUAUCAUUUUAAUUAGGCAUCUACCUAAGCAUCCUGGAUAAUUAAUAUUUAAAGGUUGCAUAGUACAAAGAAAUCAAUAAAGUGACUGCUAUGAAGCCAGUUGCAAAAUGUUUUAUCCAUCAUUUAAUCAAUUCAUUCAUUGAACAUUUUUCUUUGAGUGACUAAUGGGUGAUAAUCAUAAUUCUAUUUCCUAUAUUGAAUGCAUUAUAAUAAGAUAUAAUGUUUUUAAAGCACCUGAGAAUAUUAACUGUAGACCGUGAUAAGCUGUCUCACAAUUUCACCAGUGUGGAUAAAAACAGCCUUGACCUAAAGAGAUCCAUACUAAGGAGAGCAUGUGUUUUAUUUGACCAACUUCUAAGUGUAAACCCUUGUGUAGAGCUUAUUCAUUCUACUCCACUCCCCUCCUAAUACUAGAAGAAAUACAACCUUUAAUAAGAAAAAGACAUUAUUUUUUUAAAUUAUAAAUUAGAUAAUCAAUACUGGUAGAAACAAUGUUCACAUUGCUGGAAGCUAAUUGUGUUUUCUCAUUGAUCAGCCUGAGCUCUGGAUCAACUAGGGUUUUAGCCUUGCUCCCAGACUUACCACCAAUACCUUUGAAAAGUAAAAUGAUUCAUUACCAAAUGAAAGCCAGAAUGCAUGACCCAGAAUCUGGAUUCUCUGAAAUAAAACUAUUUCAAUUUUUUAAAAAAUCUAUUUCUUUUCUAGCAAAAUUUAUAUUAGAUUGCAUGACUUUUUAAUUUUGCUUUAUUUUAUCAAUUUUGAAGCACUUAUUAAGAAUAAGGAAAUACUUAAAACUUUAAAUAUUUUUAUAAAUAAAACAUAGUAGAGAUCUAUAUAAUCUAUCUAAUCUAUAAACCAUAGUAGAGAUCUGUAUAAUCUAUAUGAUCUCUACCAUGUGUUAGAAUAUUGACCUAAAAUUAUUCAGAUAGUUAUGUAACUUGACUGAUUUAUUUAUUCAUUCAUUCUUUUAUUUAUUCAACACAUAUUUAUCCAAUCAUAUAUGGGCAGGUCCUGGCUAUGUUAAAAUUAAGAUAAUUUUAGAUAAAUUAGAUAAAUAGAAAAGACAAUAGAUGGCUAUACUGUCAAGCUGCCUAAAAGAAAGAUCAAUAGAUGUCUAUAUAGUCAGAGUUGCCUGAGGACUCAGAAACCUAACAUAAGAGAAAUGUGUCCAGACCCGAAUCCUCAAUAUUUGCACAGAGAAACUUAAUUAUGUCAUUGCAAGAUGAUGGCAGGACUCUAGAGAAUAUGUGAGCCCAAUCAAACCAACAGCAACAAAUGCUCAUUGAUUUACAAGACAACUGCUGAAAAUAUCUGACCUAACGAUCCUAGUGAUUUUAUUCUCUAUUAGUGAAUAACAUGUAAGCAAUCAAAUUAAUUCGAGAUUGUUUUGGUAUCAUAGUAAAGCAAAAGCUCACUUCCACCAAAAUUGGGCAGCCUGAAUUACUCAUCAGAAGAAGAAUAAGGUGUGUUCAGUGUGGUGGAGACAAUGACUUUUAGAAUCAGAUAAAUCUUGACAAAAACCUUAGCUUCAUUCUUUAGUGCUGAGCAAUCUCUAGAAAAUCUUUUUUUCCUCUGAACUUUCUCAUUUGUAAAUUUGGUGUGGUUUGUACAGGAUAUAUCAAUCUGACAUACAGAAAAAUUAUUUAAAUCAUGAAUAAAAUUUCUUGAAGAGGCACCAAAAGGAAAGUCCUUUUAUGAUAUGCAACAAAAACUUCCUAAAAUCCUUUAUCUCUCUAAAUAUUCCAGAGGGCAGUGCACCCUGAAGGGUAGUCAGGGCCCUGGAGAAAUACUUCUGGUGGGUCUCUGCCAAUGUAAACAUUUUAAUUAAAAUAAGUAACACAAAACUCAUGGCCCUACAUGAGGUAUUACUAUAUAUCAAUAACAAUUUAGACUAGCAGAUGGAAAAGCAAGGAUUACAUAAUUGUUUACUGUUCAGUUAAGGCAUGCAAAGAUCCUCCAGGCAUCUUUUUAUGUCCAGAAACCAUCUCUUCCUGUUCUUUACUUUCAAAUGUAUUAUUACUAGAGAAUUUUAUAUUUAUCCCCACAAGAAAAAGUUAAUAACACCAUUAUUACUUACAAUGUCAUGGCUCUUUGGAACCUAUUCAUAAUGAAGUAGUAUGGACCUUCUUAUCUCUACAAUUCCCUGAUACCAUUUACUUAACACUGGUUACAUCUUUACCCAUGAUUCUGGAUCAUCCAUCAUGGUGUCUUGGUAUAUUGGCUUCCAAUAACUCUCCCAAAAGUUAUUGUUGUGCUUCCUGUCUCCACAGAAUGCAAUCUUAACCAUGGAAUGAAGAAUAAAUGAGAAAAAUAAUUCAUUUUCUGAUCAUGUUAAACUUAACCAUUGUAAUUUUAUUGACUAAACAUAGAACACCUCUUCCAGCCAUAUUUUCUUUUGAAAUCUUUAGGCAAUAGUAACUGCAUUCCUAGAAAUUGUUCUCCUUUUUAUCAUCUUCCUAAGGAUUUCUAUAAUAGCCAGGACCAUGAGCAUUUUUUUAUAGCACUGGACAAUGAAACAAAUGUUGAAGAGGAGGGCUUUUCUACUUGUUUGCAGACUCACAACAGAAAAUGUGUCAAUUUUAUUAGCAACAAGCUUAUUGCAAUAUGUCACAUUGAGACAAAUGCAGUUAUGAAACAUGUAAGAGGCAAAGGUGAAAUUCAAAUCAGAAAAGAGAGCAUUUCUUUUACAUAGGAUAAGUGAUAAAUCUACGAGCACUUAAGUAAUAGUAGAGAAAAUGUCAAGCAAGCACCAGGUGAAUGUGCAACAUUUUCCAGGACUUUUUAACAUAUGGCAAUCCUGAGCUAUUAGAAUCCAGAACUACCCUGUCUUAUCCAAAAUAAUUAGUUGAAAUAUUAUAGAUACAGUCAAUAUUAUUCUGCAUAUUUCAUUUUACCUUAAUAAUAUUUUGUGCCUCUGAUAAAUGAAGUUUUUUUAAGCAUGAUACCUCCUUAGGUGCAAAGUCUGGGGGCUGCACUUUGGUCUAGAAGCCCUAAAGGAAAAGAGUAUAGCACCCUGGCCCUCCAUCUCUAAACUAUCUCCUAAAUUCUCAACUGCCAACUCCUCUCCAUUUCCUGUUGGCUUCUCAUCCCACAGUCCCACUCCUCCUUUUUGCUUUCUGAAUUUAUUCUUCUUAUCCUGGAGUCUUUUGUCAAAUUAAUCAAUUUUACCUUAACCUUAUUUAUUGCCUUUUGUUUCCACUUUCAGUAUUAACCAAAUCUAUGAAAUAAAAGACCUGGAAGCUAGGAGGAGUGCCACAGGAAGUACUGAGAGCACCAACACCCAUGAAUCCUCAAAUAUUAACAUUCGUGUGCCUGUCAUAGGAUAGUAACGUUCAACAAAUAGUAGUCAGCAUUAGCACUACGACAUUACACAGGUUGCAUAUAAGGGUGUUAGCCAGAGUAGAUUCUUCCUUAAAUUAAGGUAGAAUUUAAACUAGAAUGACUCAGUUGAAAUUUUGACUUUGAAUCCUGGGAGAAGUGACUUGACUUCUCUGUGCCUCAGCUUUCUCAUCUCCAAAGUGGGGAUAUUUAUCAUUUACCCUUCAGUACUUGUUUUAGGGACAGUGCUUGGGCAUAGCAAGCAUUACACCAGUGUUAACCAUUAUCAUUAUAUGGGAAAUGUUAGCAUUUAAUAACUUUUUCUGGUUCUCAUGACUUGUCAGAAACAUUAAUUUCCCAGAUUAUCACUUACCUUACCUGGCUUUUCAUUCUCUGGCAGUUUGAAGAGAUUUAUGGAAUCUGCAAGAUAAUUAUCAACACAUUUUAGAACAUCUCUGGAUGGAAACCUCCUGCAGAUGGGUAUUUUAAGGCAUUUUAUGUUUAACCAUGUUAAUUUUUUGAUUGAUAUUGUGUAACUUUUUCUAAUUCAUUUCCCUAAAUUCAAGCAAAUACAUAUUUGUCUAAGACAUAAUAGGGAAAAAUAUAAUUUAAAAAAAUGGUUGCAUGUUUGAAAAGUUCCCUUCAGAGUCUAUAAAGUACUUAUGGCUUAAAAUCUGCAUGUGCUGUCUAGAAAAAGAAGCAUAAGCCACAUCCCUGCUUGGCAACUAAUUCAUCACUUAGAUGAGGAGACAAGACAUAAGGAUAAAUAUUACAGACUAAACUUCACAUAAAUGAUACAGAAAAUGUCAUGUGCUAAAAUAGUUUGUUGACAAAAGAGAGAAAACACUGAUGGUGUGAUAGGAAAUAAAUUGCUGACAGGAAUUUAUUUUUAGCAUUUGGACUGGGUUUUGAAUAUGCCUUGCAUACUGAAUUGUAUUUAGGACAUGAUGGUAAAAUGUGUAAGUAUUGCAAAUUCCUGUGGAUGUAGGUAUAGAUUUUGAAUCAUCAUUCUCCUGUGCCCUGGCAUAACAAUUUAGCAUAAGGAGGGGAAAUAAACCCAGAAAAUGAAUACCUUUCAUUGAUUCAACAAAUAAUAUUCUUGAAGAUCUUCACAAGUAGGUGGAAUCCCUUAGAGAAAAGCACUGAGUACUUUGUAUGAAUCUUCAAUUAGAAUUGAUGUUUGUCAAAAUACAAAAUAGUUACAGUCUAAGACUUUCCAUAAUAAAUCAGUCUAACUAUUCUACCCAAGAAGAGAGAUCUCCUCUUAUGUUUUGUGUUUUUCUUGAAUUUUCUGCAAAUACAUUUGCUCAGUACUAGUAUCAUGCUUUCUAGACCAUAUCACCUAGCAAUAAUCUGUCACAUUCCAUGAUCUUUGAAUACCAAAUCAAAUUCCUCUCCAAUUUGGAGACUAUAACCAGGUUUCACAUAGGAUGGAAUAAUUAUUUUUUAGCAGAAAUUUAUUGCAUUGUGCAGUGAAGCCCUUGCUUAUCAAUCCUGACUUACUUAUAGGCAUCGUUCUCUUUGUGCUCAAAGGGACUUUGAGUCUUUGUAUCUCCAGAAAAUAUCACCAAUCAUCAAUUUGCCGAACAAAUCCUAGAUCACUUGGCUUGAUGGAAUCAUCUGGAGAAAGAAAGAAGCCUAAUAUUUAGUGAAUGAUCACUACAUGCCUUGCAUAAGGAGAAAUUAUUUUAUUUAAUUUCUAGAAAAAAAAAAAAAAACGGGAUAGGCACUGCAAUAAUUCCUUAAGCCAAAGGCUUUGGAUCAGCUUUUCACCUUAUAAAACAAAGUUUAGAAAAAAGUUCAGCAUUUACACCUCUACCUUGUGGCUGUGUGAUCAGGUUUUCUCUACUGGGAUGUAAGCACAAAGAAUGUGUAUGAUUUCCGCCUCACAUGCUUAAAAGGAAAUUGCUUGCCCAGGACGUCUUCUUUUCUCUUUCUCUUCCUCUGAGCUGGAAUACAGAAGUGUCAGGGACAAAGCUUAGAGCCAGACUAGGACAAUGCUGAUGAAUGGGUGGACUAAAUAGAGAAAGAGAAAUCUACUGGGUUUCACAAUGAUGUAAAGCAGACAUGCCCACCAACCUAGACGUGCCUAACUCUUAUAUGAAAGGAAAGUAAACUUUCAUCUUAUUUAAGCCACUGCAUUUUUUUAUGUAUCUUUUUGCUACAGCCACUUACCCUUUAUCCUUCUAAUUAACACAAGUGCCUUUUAUCCUGGAUGAGCUAGUUACCUAGAAUUGGCUUUGAACUUGUGGGUUCUAACGGCAUAUAGUGUAUACUUUAUGCUUAGCGCUUGUGCUCCAUUGACUAAAUUACCUGCAAUUUCAAUAUUAUGUGCAUAGCAUACUGCUGCAUUGGUUUUGUUGAUGUAGAAUUAUAAUAUAUGAAAUGUGAGCAAACGUUGCAAAUGGGGAUAAUUAUCCAUUAAAUAACUUGAUAUCCACAAGUUAUUUAAUAACCACAAAAUUAUUUAAAUGAUUAACAUUAUCUACGGCAAAUGUUACCAAUAAUUUCAAUAUAUCUCUGUGUGAUACUAACAAUAUUAAGAGGAGAAUUCCAUUGCUUUUGGUUUUUAAUAAUUGUCUUAAAGUCAUUCAAUAACUCUAUUUAGUGAGCAGGAAGUUUGUUCAUACAUACAAAAAUACACAUCUAUGAAUAUAAUUUUUAUGAUAGACAUCUCAUGUAUGUGAUUCACAUAGGCACCCCAGCAAUCCUUCUAGAAGCCAUUUGUUUGCUCUAACGUAGAGUUGAAAAAUUUUGGCACAUACAUGAAAUUAUCACCCUUAUUCAAUGACUAAUAACCCCAAAUUCCUACCUUUAGAAUUAUCCCUUUUGGUUAUGAUGCUAUUUGUAGAAUUUUCUUGCUAAAUCAAAGGAUAUGUUUGCUAGCAAGAAGCUAGUAACACCAUAGCAAAAUUAAAAAGUAUGAAGGAGGCAUUAUGGCCCACACCUGUAAUCCCAGCCAUUUGGGAGGAUGAGGCGGGUGGAUCAUUUGUGGUCAGGAGUUUGAGACCAGUCUGGCCAACAUGGUGAAACACCACAUCUACUAAAAAUGCAAAAAAAUCAGGUGGGCAUGGUGGUGCAUGCCUGCAAUUCCAGCUACUUAGGAGGCUGAGGCAGGAGAAUCACUUGAACCAAGGAGAUAGUGGUUGCAGUGAACUUAGAUUGUACCACAGUCUGGGCAACAGAGUGAGACUCCAUCUCAAAGAAAAAAUUACGUAGGAAUGGUACCAAAGAAAGAUACUUUUGCUGUUGAUGGAGAAAGAUGGUAUAAUAUAUGAGGCCAGCUGAGGAAAUGUAGAUCUGAGUGCUAAGGUUCCAUGAAAGGUUUUGAUUACUCACAUGGGCAGGCAUAAAAAGAAACUGAUCUAUAAAAGCACUAAGAGGGAAAGUAAAGGAGGUAAAAUAAUGCUUACAUCACAUUUUGCCUGUUUCUCAGGGUUUCCAUAUCACACGAUAUCAAGACCCUUGUUCUAGUUAAAUAUCUUAGAAGAUAUAUAGCUGACCUCAGCUUCCUGUAUUUAUUCUCAUAAAAUAAUCACUUCUUAAAAGAUAAGUGUGAUCUCAAGGGAGAGAUUAUAGCUAAAAAGAUAUUGUCCAAGAUAUUCAGGAAGAAUUACUGUAUAUAAGGUUAGAAGUUAAUCUCUGCUACAUACCAAGUCUCAAGGGUGGGACAAUUCUGAGGCUGUAAGCAUUCUCAAUCACUUUGAUUUAUCUCUAUGCCUUAUAAGUUAUAAGAAAUUGUUCUGCUAGAGACCAUCUCAGAUUUGUUAUUGCAGAUGAGAUCACAUUUUCCAGUUGACCUGAAUUAAUCUAUAGUUGAGAUAUGAAAAGAAUAGAUAAGUAUUGUUGGGAGAAGAAUAUACAUAUUUGUAGUGGGAUUUAUGUUCCCCAUCCUUAAGGGUAAGGUAUCUACAUAAAAAAAAUUACUUAAAUUAUUUGAGAGAUUUGUUCAUUCUCCUACUAUUUAUAUAUUAAAUCAUUUAGUUAUAUUAGUAUGGACUUAUGUAUAUUUAUCUUAUAUUUUGGGUUAUAUUCCAACAUAAUUUUAUUUUCUUGCUCAAUUUUAUUUCACCUUUAGCCAUUGGGAGCCUUUCAAUUGACUUUUGUGUCACAUUGACUUGAUCUCUUCAAUGCUGUGUGUGUGUGUCUGUGUGUGUGUGUGUGUUAGUGAUUAGGAAGGAAGAUUAUUUCUACCAUUCAAGUCAACUGCAGCUACAUUAAUGUAGUUACAUAAUCAUUCUUAUUAAUUACCAUCAAAGCAUGCCAAUGUUGGGUUUAUAGUAUUACAUUUUUAUAAUCUCUCUGUCUUCAGAGCUUCCUAGAAAUCCUGAUACAAUUUAUGUGGAGUUAGAAACUACCUGGUCUAACUGGGCCAGCAGUUAAUCUAAAUGAAAACCAAGGGAGGGACUCUACUAGUUCUCAAACUUGGUUGCACAUGGAAAUCUACUGGUGAACUAUAAAAAGUACUAAUGCCUCAACUCCAAUCUGCAGAUCACAUUCAAAUUCUAAUUGUCCCAAUAAUACCUUUUAUAGAUCAAUUUAUUCUGGUUCAAAAUCUAGUCCAGUAUCACAUACUUUAUUUAGUUAUCAUAUCUUCUCUUUAGUCUUAAACAGUUCCAGAUUUGUCUUUGCUCUCAGGAUCUUGACUGUAUUGAGGAGUAUAAUCCAAUUAUUUUCUAGAAUGUCCUUCAAUUUUAUUUUUUUUCCUGAUGUUAUCUCAUGCUUGAAUUUAUAUUACAUAUUUUGGCCAUGAAUAGAAGUGAUGUUGUGUCCUUCUCAGUAUAUCAAAAAGCAUAGACAAAUUUAAGGCACAGAAAAAUGUAUUUGUCCUAUUUUUGGUGAUGUUAACUUUGAUCACUUGCUUAAGGUGGUGACUGCCAGGUUUUACCAUUUUAAAGAUACUUUUAUUCCCCCUUGCCGUACCCUGCUCUUUGGAAGUAAAUCGUUAAGCAUUGUCACAAUCUCUAUUUUACUCCCUGUAUCCUUGACUUCCUGGUUGAUUUUUAUGAAAUUUUCAUAUAUAAAGUUUUACUGUUUGUGCUGUAGGUUCUGUGGGUUUUGAUAAAUGCAGAGUCAUAUAUUCAUGACUCCACUACCAUAUGGGUUAGUUCCAUCACUGUAAAGAAUAUCCUACGUUUUCCCUAGGAAAUCUUCCUUUCUUAAUUCCUAAAAACCACUGAUCUGAUUUUUCAUCCCUCUAUUUUUGCUUUCUCCAGAAUGUCUUAUGAGUGCUAUAUAUUCAAUAUAUAGCAUUUCUACUCUCUGUUUUUCUCACUUAGCAAGAUGUAUUUUAGAUUAAUCCAUGUUAUUGUGUGGAUGAAUAGUGUUUUCCAUUUCUCUGGCUGAAGACUUCUCCCAUGAUAUAUAACACGGUGUGUUUAUCCAUUCACUUAUUGAAGGACAUCUUGGUUUCUUCCAAUUUUUAGUAAUUAUGAAUAAAGCUGCCAUAAACCUUCACAUACAGGUUUUUGGGUUAACAUAAGUUUUCAUAUAAGUUGAGUUAAUAUCUAGGAGCUAGUCUAUGAUUAAUAUUAUUAAAAACUAGGAAACUGUCUUCCUAAGGAGCUGUAUCAUUUUUGCAUUCCUAUCAGCAGUAGAGGACAGUACCCUUGUUCCAAAUCCUUAACAGAAUUUUGUAUUAUCAGUUUGCUUUUUUCUUUUAAAUAUUCUAAUAUUUAUGUAGUGGCACCUCAUCGUUUUGUCCUUUGCCUUUUCCUUAAUGACCAAUGAUGUUGAACAUAUUUUCAUGCAUACUUGCCAUUUUUUAUAUUCCUUGGUGAAGUAUUCUAUAUUUAUUUUCCCCGUUUUUAAAAUUGAGCUGUUUGUUUUCUUAUUGUUGAGUUUUAAGACUUCUUCAUAUAUUCCAGAUAUAAAUCCUUCAUCACACAUGUGAUUUGCAAAUAUUUUCUCCCAGUCUGUGACUUGUCAUUUAUUUUUGCUUUUAUUAUUAUUUUUAGUUGACAUAUAAUAAUUGUACAUAUUUAUGAGGUGAGUGUGAUAUUUUGAUACAUGUAUACAAUGUGUAAAGAUCAAAUCAGGGUGAUUAGCAUAUCCAUCACCUCACCUCAAAUAUUGAUCAUUUCUUUGUGUUGGAAACAUUCAAAAUCUCCUUUUCCAGCUAUUUGAAAACAUAACACUAAAACUUAUUUCUCCUACCUAGCUGUACCGUCCCAUCCAUUAACCAAUCUUUGGCUAUUCCCCCUUUUCCCCUAUCCUUCCCUGCCUCACUAACCACUGUUCUAAUCUCUACUUCACCUUAACAUAAGGGGCACAUGACCCAUUGUGUGAGCUGUUGGAAAGCGGGUAGAGAUAGGACAAAAAUUUGUCUCAGAGGUCUCACCAUCUUAAUUUGCUCACUUCUAAUGAAGAAAGUAAAAAAAUAUAAAUAAAGUUACCCAAAGACACCUUAAAGCUGAAAACCUGGUCCAUCAUUCUGAUUGGCUCAUCCACCUUUAGGCAACAGGACUCAUAAUUAUUGAAGGAGACUUGGAAUCCACAGAGAAAGGAGCUGAGCUGGCAGAGUCCUGUUGCCUAAAGGUGGAUGAGCCAAUCAGAAUGAUGGACCAGAACCUGAAAUGUCUGUGUGUUGCCGAAGAAAAGCACUCUCAAAAAGAAGCCAAAUAAGAGGAAGAGAUCAAGAUUCUUACUGAUAAACUCAAGGAGCCAGCAUUUCAUGCAGGUUUUGCUGAGAAAUGAGCAGCCAAGCUGGAAAAGACAAUUGAUGAUUUGGAAGAUAAACUGAAAUGCACCAAAGAGAAGCACCUCUGUAUACAAAGGAUGCUGGACUAGACUCUGCUUGAAGGAAAUGUGGAGCACCCUGGUCCAACCCUGCCGCUGCUCUUCCCUCUGCCGCUGACUCCUUUGGAGGCCAGGCUUUCCCAAGCUGACAUUGAAACUGAGGGCUGAUCUUUAACUGGAAGGCUGCUUUCUCCUUUCACCACCCCUCCACCCAUCUGUGUCUUUUUCACCAAACUGUCUCUGCCUGGUUCCAGAGAUUCCAGCGGCAUUAGAAGCUAAGCACCUAUAGGAACAACAUUGAACGGAAUGCAAGAACAAUGCAAGAUGUCUUUAAUAGCAUGUUGUGAUGUAAACACUUUGGUUUUUCUUUUUUUGUUGUUGUUUUUUGUUGUUGGUGGUGGUUUUGUGUGUUUGUUUGUUUGUUUGUUUUUUGAGACAGGGUCUCACUGAAAUGCCUAGACUGCAGUGCAGGGUUGCAAUCGCUGCUCACUGCAGCCUAAACUUCCCAUGGUCAGGUGAUCCUCCCACCUCAGCCUUCCAAGUAGCUGAGACUACAGGCGUGCUCCACCAUACCUGGCUAAUUUUUGUAUUUUUUGUUGAGACAGAGUCUCGCCAUGUUGCCCAGGCUGAUCUCAAACUCCUGAGCUCAAGCCAUCUGCCCCCCUUGCCUCUCAAACUGCCGUGAUUACAAGUGUGAGCCAUGUCACCCUGCCCUACACUUCGUAAUUACUUUUUUUUGUUGUUUUGCAGCAACUGUUUGUAAACUAUUCCAGAUAAUUCUACAGCUUUGAAACAGCAAUGUAAUUCUUUCCUCACUUUUGGAAGGUGGCUUUUCAGCUUAAUGCAUAUUACCCUCACCAUAAAGGAGGGAAGACUAUAUGGGCCUACCUUACUGAGAACCAGAGCUCCGGGAAAGACUCCACCACAGGAAACCUCAUUGUUCUGCACAAAGUACCAGACAAACCAGAAAGGUGAUUCCAGGAGAAGUUACCCAAACAACAACAUAUAAUAACUUGUUGUUAUAUUCACCGUAUAGUACUCUAAAACAACAGGAUUCUGCCAGCUCAGCUCCUUUCUCUGUGGAUUCCAAGUCUCCUUCAAUAAUUACCAAUAUAUAAACCACUUCUU
rnacentral:lncRNA from 1 species